rnacentral:rRNA from 1 species
CCUACGGGAGGCAGCAGUGGGGAAUAUUGGUCAAUGGGCGCGAGCCUGAACCAGCCAAGUAGCGUGGAGGAUGACUGCCCUACGGGUUGUAAACUUCUGUUAUGAGGGAAUAAAGUGAGGCACGUGUGCCUUUUUGUAUGUACUUUAUGAAUAAGGAUCGGCUAACUCCGUGCCAGCAGCCGCGGUAAUACGGAGGAUCCGAGCGUUGUCCGGAUUUAUUGGGUUUAAAGGGAGCGUAGAUGGGUUGUUAAGUCAGUUGUGAAAGUGUGCGGCUCAACCGGAAAAUUGCAAUUGAUACUGGCAGCCUUGAGUACAGGUGAGGUAGGCGGAAUUCGUGAUGUAGCGGUGAAAUGCUUAGAUAUCACGAAGAACUCCGAUUGCGAAGGCAGCUUACUAAACUGCCACUGACAUUGAGGCUCGAAAGUGUGGGUAUCAAACAGGAUUAGAUACCCUAGUAGUC